UACGGGGGGGGCAAGCGUUGUUCGGAAUUACUGGGCGUAAAGGGCUUGUAGGUGGCCAACUAAGUCCGACGUGAAAUCCCUAGGCUUAACCUAGGAACUGCGUCGGAUACUGGAUGGCUUGAAUCCGGGAGAGGGAUGCGGAAUUCCAGGUGUAGCGGUGAAAUGCGUAGAUAUCAGGAGGAACACCUGUGGCGAAAGCGGCUCACUGGACCAUAACUGACGCUGAUGCACGAAAGCUAGGGGAGCAAACAGG
rnacentral:rRNA from 1 species